rnacentral:rRNA from 1 species
CUGCUAGCGCAGCUACCAUGCAGUCGAGCGGGGGAGGUAGCUUGCUACUGGACCUAGCGGCGGACGGGUGAGUAAUGCUUAGGAAUCUGCCUAUUAGUGGGGGACAACAUCUCGAAAGGGAUGCUAAUACCGCAUACGUCCUACGGGAGAAAGCAGGGGAUCUUCGGACCUUGCGCUAAUAGAUGAGCCUAAGUCGGAUUAGCUAGUUGGUGGGGUAAAGGCCUACCAAGGCGACGAUCUAGGGACCAAGUCUCUUGCUUCGACUUCCCCCAGUCAUCGGCCACACCGUGGUAACCGCCCUCUUUGCAGUUAGGCUAGCUACUUCUGGUGCAACAAACUCCCAUGGUGUGACGGGCGGUGUGUACAAGGCCCGGGAACGUAUUCACCGCGGCAUUCUGAUCCGCGAUUACUAGCGAUUCCGACUUCAUGGAGUCGAGUUGCAGACUCCAAUCCGGACUACGAUCGGCUUUUUGAGAUUAGCAUCACAUCGCUGUGUAGCAACCCUUUGUACCGACCAUUGUAGCACGUGUGUAGCCCUGGCCGUAAGGGCCAUGAUGACUUGACGUCGUCCCCGCCUUCCUCCAGUUUGUCACUGGCAGUAUCCUUAAAGUUCCCAUCCGAAAUGCUGGCAAGUAAGGAAAAGGGUUGCGCUCGUUGCGGGACUUAACCCAACAUCUCACGACACGAGCUGACGACAGCCAUGCAGCACCUGUAUCUAGAUUCCCGAAGGCACCAAUCCAUCUCUGGAAAGUUUCUAGUAUGUCAAGGCCAGGUAAGGUUCUUCGCGUUGCAUCGAAUUAAACCACAUGCUCCACCGCUUGUGCGGGCCCCCGUCAAUUCAUUUGAGUUUUAGUCUUGCGACCGUACUCCCCAGGCGGUCUACUUAUCGCGUUAGCUGCGCCACUAAAGCCUCAAAGGCCCCAACGGCUAGUAGACAUCGUUUACGGCAUGGACUACCAGGGUAUCUAAUCCUGUUUGCUCCCCAUGCUUUCGUACCUCAGCGUCAGUAUUAGGCCAGAUGGCUGCCUUCGCCAUCGGUAUUCCUCCAGAUCUCUACGCAUUUCACCGCUACACCUGGAAUUCUACCAUCCUCUCCCAUACUCUAGCUCACCAGUAUCGAAUGCAAUUCCCAAGUUAAGCUCGGGGAUUUCACAUCCGACUUAAUAAGCCGCCUACGCACGCUUUACGCCCAGUAAAUCCGAUUAACGCUCGCACCCUCUGUAAUUACCGCGGCUGCUGGCACAGAGGUAGCCCGGUGCUUAUUUCUGCGAGUAACGUCCACUAUUUUCUAGGGUAUAACUAAAGUAGCCUCCUUCCUCGCUUAAAUGCUUACACAUAAGGCUUCUCCAACACGGCCAUGACUGAUCAGUCCCCAAUUGUCCAAUAUUCCCCACUGCUGCUCGGUAGAUCUGCGUUUCAGUCCUAGUGACGGUCUCCUCAGACCCGCUACGAAUAUGGUCGACU